AUUGAACAAACUUGCAACCAAUUUCUAUGUACAAUGGAAGGAUCACUUCCUUCUUGCCCCAAACCACACUUGGUCAAGCAAUGAAGUUUUACAAAAACUCUGAUAACCCUCACAAAGCUACACUAUUGAAGAAGCUGUGUCACACUUGAAAAGUUACAAGAAAAUUGCACAAGCUGAGAAUACAAAUAAUCCCUUUUUGAGUAUUCAACCACUUGAAUCACUCACUAUUUGAUGUAGACUGGAUGUGCAAAGUUGCUCUGAUGUGGUUGACUUUUUUCCUUUUAUAGGAGACCAAGAAAUUCUUCAAUUAAUGCUGUCAACGGAUAGAAGGCAACUGAAGAGUCAACUAGCCGUUGGUGCUGUCGGACGUCCGAUAUUCAGUUUUUAUGCAUCCGAACGAGGUCAAUGAAUUAGAGAAAUCUUCUUGAACCUCUUAGGACGUCCGAUCCCCUAUCACCAUGCGUCCGAGGGUAAGAUGCAGAUUUGGAGGUUCCUUUUCAAUUCCUUCGGACGGCCGAUGCGUCCAAUGUGUUGUGUUCGAAGUGCAGCAACGCUUGUCGGACGUCCGAUGCUCAAGUGUUGAGCGUCCGAUCGUGAUCAGUAAUCAUAGAAGCCCUGGCUUGUCUUCUUCGGACGUCCGAGUCUGAGUUCUUCAUACGUCCGAAGUUACUCAAUGGAUGUUGGACGUCCGAUACUCUCCUUUUGUGCGUCCGACAUCUUCCUCAACACUUUUCACCUUUUUUUAUCUUCUUUUUGCUCUAAGUCCACAGACUUGUUUAGUAUCAUUUCUGAAAAGGGUCUCUACAAAAAGUAUUAGUAACAUCUGUUUGUUUUGUAAUCAUCAAAAGAUAUGAAUUGAGAUAAACAAUCUCCCUCUUUUUGAUGAUGACAAAACAUUUGGAUAGAGCAAAAAUAUACGAACUGGGAUUACAACUCCCCCUAACGAAGUGCAUGAGUAUACGAGAAGAAAUGCAACUCCCCCUAACUAGUUACUUUACACCAUCAGUGCUAAUCCAAUUCUCCCCCUUUUUGUCAUCACAAAAGUGGGUAUGCCAUGUCUGAUCAAUUUUGAUACCAGCGCAUCAGAUAACAUC
rnacentral:lncRNA from 1 species